UAGAAAGGAUGAAAAGUGUCUGGUUCCUCUUAGCAGCUGCAUCUGCCCCAGACAAACAGAUGCUUGCCUCCGGCCUCUCCCAGAAAACGCCUGUGUUGCCUUAGAUCACCAUCUGGUUGCCUUAAGACCUCAGCAGCCUGAUGAGUUCAGUAAAAGUCACGCAUUUGAGGGUUUUUUUUUCUUUCUUACUGCUGUAAGUUUGGGAGUGGCUCUUUUUCUAGUUCUGUACAUCUCAAGCAGGACCUCGAUGUCUCUAUUGGAGCAGUUUACACAGAAAAAAUUACGUGACCCGAUUUAAAUACCUGAAGGAUAAUUUUAGCACAUAUGGAAAAAAAUAGAAAGAGCCUGCGGUUGGGCACAAGUGACAGGGAAUGAGGCGACCGCAAUACCCCAGGUAGGAAGUGAAUGGUAGACCAUACGAUCCAGCAAUCCUACUUCUGGAAAUUUACCCCCAAGAACUGAAAGGAGGGUCUUGAAGAACUGUUUGCACCUCCAUGUUCAUAGCAACGCUAUUGAUGGUAGCCAAGAAGUAGAAACAACCAAAAUGUCCAUUAAUAGAGAAAGAAAAUGUGGUACACACAGUGGAAUAUUAGCCUUAAAAAGAAAGAAAAUCCUGUCAAAUACUACAACGUAGGUGGGCCUUGAGGACAUUAUGUUAAAUGACAUGGGCAGUCACAAACUGACAAAUACCAUUAUGAUUUCAUUUCUGUGAGGUAUCCGACAUAGUCAAACUCUGAGAAACAGAAAAGUGGCACGGUGGCCGAGGGGCCAGGAGGUGGGGGAAAAGGGAGUUGUUGUGUGAUGAGUAUAGAGUUUCAGUUUUGCAGAAUGAAAAAGUUCUGGAGAUCUGCUUUCACCACAAUAUCUUCAGCCUAUGGGCCUACAGACUGGAACUAUACCGUUAUUGCUCCUGGUUCUCCGGCCUUUGGACUGAGACUGGAACUAAUCCACUGGCUCUCCCGGGUCUCUGCUUGCUGACUCACCCUGCAGAUCUUGGGACUAGUCAGUAUUCAUAAUCACAUGAGCCAAUUCCUUACAAUAAAUUUCAUAUAUUUCAAUAAAUGUCAUGUAUAUAGAAGUUAUUGGUUCUGUUUCUCUGGAGAACACUAAUACAUCAUUAUAAAACAGGAACCCAAAUUAUAUAAUAACAGCUUACUAAUUUAAAUGUCUUAUACGAUAAUUUUUAUUGGUUUCAUUUUUGUGUAUACAUAGAAAAUGUUGAAGACUGAGUGAAUUCUCUGCGCAUGUUUUUAAAAUAAUCACAGUCAAAUGUGACCACCCGUUUUAACACUUCAAAAUACUCCUUUGGGAUUCAUGAUGUAAAUGAGAACGCUUUUGUGCUUACGGUUUGUGCUUUCUGCUUAAGUAAAAGGACUUAAGUUCGUCAGCCGGUUCGGCUACGACUCACCUACAGAUACUAAGACGCUUUUCUGAACACCAUCCGAAGCUUGUCCUUUUUCCCGUGAUCCCUCUCUCCCUGAGCAAGUCAGCCUUUGCGUGAGACCAGCCACCCGGGGAGUGGGGCGCCGCGACGUCCGCAUUGCAGGCUGUCAGCACCGGAGCAGGGUGAGCUUUUCUGUAAGUUCGAGAUUAUUUCAAAAGAAAAACAAGAAGAAUCUUUAAAGAACAUGUGUCAACCUCAUUUUCUGGCAUCGUGGCAACAAAGGACUGAACUGCGAUAAAUCGGUCUUCCUGGUUUUAGUGUAAUGGUUGAUUUCUCCUUCCUCAGUUUUGCUCUUGUGGGUCUUCUUUCAUUUUUUUGUAAAGCAAAGUUUAAUGGGAUUUAUCUUUGAAAAAGACUUAAGCCCACAGUGCUGACCUUUUUAGAAAUGAAAACACUUGAGGCUUCAUAAUGCAAAUGUGCCAAAUUGUAAGUGAACAACUAAUGAAUACUGUGUGAUUAAAAACACCUGUCAAAUGCUUACAGGAAAACAAUGUCAAAAGUUCUUUCUAAAAAAUGUUGCCGGGGUGCCUGGGUGGGUCAGUCGGUUGAGCUUCCGACUUCAGCUCGGGUCAUGAUCUUACCAUUUGCGAGUUCAAGCCCCGCGUCGGGCUCUGGGCUGACAGCUCUGGGCCUGAAGCCUGCUUCGGGUUUUGUGUCUCCCUCUUUUUCUCUGCCCCUCCCCUGCUUGCACUCUGCCUCUCUCUCUCUCUCUCAAAAAUAAACAGACAUUAAAAAAUAUUGCAAUUUUGUAGAACUGUAUCUUUGGCUGACUAUUUUAUUAGUCUUUUGGUUGAGCUUUCAAUAGGUCGGGUUCUUACUUUCCUCAAGCUUCGGCUGAAAUAUUGUGCGAAUGCAAGGGUUAAUAAAAAUGAAGGAAACAAACGUUUGUAAUCUGUUUCCUUGAGUGUUCCCUUGGCCAGGUUGUGCCUCUUGACUCUGUUAGUCGGACUUUCUGUGAUUUCCUUUCAGUCGCGACUGUGACGCCUGUAUAUCUUGUCAAAGAUACACACAGUCAUUCAAACUUACUUAAGUUCGUUUUUUUUAUUAACUACCUACUUAAGUGCAAAAAUUGUCACCACUCAACUUAGUUGACCUCUAAGCAGAAAAAAAAAAUGUUUUAAAUCUUGUUGUAUUCGAGGAACUCUGUACCAGGUAUGAGUGAGACAAAUUCAAGGGGCCACAUUCUCAGAUGCAUUUCAUUUUCUGAAAUUCAAAUUUAUUCAAUUUCAAAUAUUGAAAUAGUUCUUACUUUAUGCCAAUCACUCACCUAAGUACAUUAAAAAUAUUAACUCAUUUCAUCUUUGAAUAACUCCAUAAGGGAUUUUUAGUAUUCUCAUUUGAUUG